rnacentral:rRNA from 1 species
GAUCCUGGCUCAGGAUGAACGCUAGCUACAGGCUUAACACAUGCAAGUCGAGGGGCAGCAUUCUUCUAGCAAUAGAAGAGAUGGCGACCGGCGCACGGGUGAGUAACACGUAUCCAACCUACCGAUAACUCUGGAAUAGCCUUUCGAAAGAAAGAUUAAUACCGGAUAGCAUACGAAUAUCGCAUGAUAUUUUUAUUAAAGAAUUUCGGUUAUCGAUGGGGAUGCGUUCCAUUAGUUUGUUGG